ensembl:lncRNA BHLHE40-AS1 BHLHE40 antisense RNA 1
CUGCAGGAAGAGAGACCAGGAAGGGUCGUGACUGCUUGCGCACGGCUGCAGGCGUUCUGCCGGGCAAGAACCUCCCGGUGCGCCCGGAGCUGCUCCAAGUUGAGAGUGGCGCAUAACAUGGGGCUGCAGUUGAGGCUUGAAGGGCCAAGGAGUGCCAACUUACCCUGGGUUGCAGAAAAGGAAGAAGAAUCAGCAGAGAGCAUUUGUGGCCAGCAAAGCUUAAAAUAUUUCCUAACCGAUCCUUUGCAAAAAAAGUUCACCCACUCCUGUAGUCAGCAGCUCCCCUACUGUGCGCAGUCAGUGUGCCAUCUCAGACUAGCAAAGAUUUGUGCUUGGAUCAUCUACACUUCCCUGAAUGUUGAAGAAGAUAUGCUAUCCAUGCAAUCCUUGUCGACUGCUUGAUUAAAAAGUGGAUAAACUGUCUUCAGGCCCUUGGAGUAUGGUGUCUGUGUGAAGAAGGGAAUGAGGCAGAAGUAGCAGUCAGUGGUGGCUGAAGUAGGAGAAAGUGCUUGCUAAUGAAAUCUUGAUUUUUCUGUGGCUUUUCUGUGCAAUUGGGUGGCUAAGUAGGAAAGCCAUUGGAGCUUCACUGUAUCAAUUCUGCCUUUCUUGUUUUUUGGAACUCCAAUUCACCAAGGCUCCCUGCCACCCUAUCCAUCUAUAACUUUUCAUCACUUUUUCCUCAAAGUAAGAAGUGUGUCCCAGAAAAUGUGCCUUUGUGACUCAGCAACAUUUCAAAUCCAUCUGAGCCUUCCCAGCGUUCCAAAAGAAAUACUGAUUUGAAUUCAGCUGCUUAAAAAACCAGUCUCUAAGCAGACAGCUUGAAACUUCCUUACAGCAAUAGUUUAGGCUUUGGAGGGGAAAUUGGUUUGUUUUUAAUUGUUUUAAUUUUUCAUUCAAUUCAUUUGCCGCCUGAUUAUAUAUGAUCUUUUGAGCCCAAUACUCUGCUAAAUUAACCUUGACUUUCUUUCUCUCUUUCUCUCUCUCUCCUUCUCUCUUUCUUCCUUUCUUUCUUUCUUUUUGACAGAGCCUUGCUCUGUCGCCCAGGCUGGAAUGCAGUGGCACAAUCUCAGCUCACUGUAAACUCCGCCUCCAAAGUUCAAGCAAUUCUCCUGCCUCAGCCUCCUGUGUAGCUGGGAUUACACACGCCAGCCACCAUGCCUGGCUAAUUUUUGUAUUUUUAGUAAAGAUGGAGUUUCACCCUCUUGGCCAAGCUGGUCUCGAACUCCUGACCUCAACCUUGGCCUCUCAAAGUGCUGGGAUUACAAGCAUGAGCCACCAUGCCUGGCCUUACCUUGAUUUUUUUUUUUUGAGACAGAGUCUCACUCUGUUGCUCAGGCUGGAGUGUAGUGGCUCGAUCUUGGCUCACUGCAACCUCCAUCUCCCGGGUUCAAGAGAUUCUCCUGCCUCAGCCUCCCAAGUAGCUGGGACUACAGGUGUGGGCCACCACGCCUAGCUAAUUUUUUAUAUGUUUACUAGAGACAGGGUUUCACCAUGUUGGGCAGGCUGGUCUUGAACUCCUGACCUCAGGUGAUUCACCUGCCUCGGCCUCCCAAAAUGCUGGGAUUACAGGUGUGAGCCACCACACCCGGCCCCUACCUUUGAUUUUUAAGUCAAGAGGGAACAAGUCGAAAUUUCUAUUCAGGUAAACUGUAUACCUUUGGACACUGAAUCACUUUUAGAACCCCAGUAAAAAUCAUGUAUGAAUGACCCACAAUUUCACUCCAACAGGAAGGUGUGUAUAUGUGCACAAAAACAUUAGAUUGUUCACACCGGUGCUAUUCAUAAUAGUCAAAAACUGGAAACAACUCAAACAUCCAUCAACUGUAGAAUGGAUAAAUAAAUCAUGAUAUAUUCAUACCAUGGAACAUAACAGUGACAAUAAAUGAACCACUGCUACACACAACAGAUAUGAAUUUCACAAACAGAAUGCUGAGCAACAGAAGCCAAACACAGAAGGAUACACAUUUAUAAAUCCAUUUGUAUGAAGUUCAUAAACAGACAAAAUUAGUCAGUGGAGAUUAUUCUCAUAGAAGUCUGAAGGGUAGUUGUCUUUAGGGAGGGGGAUAUAGUGACUGAGGUGGGUAUAAGGGGUUUCUGGGGUUUGGUGAUGGUACACCAGCAUAUUCACUCUGAAAACUCAUUGAGCUGUGCAAUAAUGAUUUUUCAAACUUUUAUAUGUGUAUGAUAAUGCUUCAAUAAAGCUUUGCUUAAAAAC